UUUAUUGGAGAGUUUGAUCCUGGCUCAGGAUGAACGCUGGCGGCGUGCCUAAUACAUGCAAGUCGAGCGAAUGGAUUAAGAGCUUGCUCUUAUGAAGUUAGCGGCGGACGGGUGAGUAACACGUGGGUAACCUGCCCAUAAGACUGGGAUAACUCCGGGAAACCGGGGCUAAUACCGGAUAACAUUUUGAACUGCAUGGUUCGAAAUUGAAAGGCGGCUUCGGCUGUCACUUAUGGAUGGACCCGCGUCGCAUUAGCUAGUUGG
rnacentral:rRNA from 1 species